GAUCAACGCUGGCGGCGUGCUUAACACAUGCCAGUCGAACGAAGUUUUUCCUUCGGGUGACACUUAGUGGCGGACGGGUGCGUAACGCGGGGGUAACCUGCCCUGUACAGGGGGACAACAGCUGGAAACGGCUGCUAAUACCGCAUAAGCCCUUAGCACUGCAUGGUGCAUAGGGAAACGGAGCAAUCCGGUACAGGAUGGACCCGCGUCUGAUUAGCCAGUUGGCAGGGUAACGGCCUACCAAAGCGACGAUCAGUAGCCGAUCUGAGAGGAUGUACGGCCACAUUGGGACUGAGACACGGCCCAGACUCCCACGGGAGGCAGCAGUGGGGAAUAUUGCACAAUGGAGGAAACUCUGAUGCAGCGCCGCCGCGUGAGUGAAGAAGUAUUUCGGUAUGUAAAGCUCUAUCAGCAGGGAAGAAAAUGACGUUACCUGAAGAAGAAGCACCGGCUAACUCCGUG
rnacentral:rRNA from 1 species